AAUAAGAUGCCUGAAUUAAAGGAUUAAUUUGAUAGAUUAAAAAAUGCAAAAUUUGCUCUUAUUG
rnacentral:tRNA from 1 species